rnacentral:lncRNA from 1 species
AUCAAACGUGCGCACAAAUGGCCCAGAUUGCACGCGUGCAGACGGUCCAGAUUUGAUCACGCACGGAUGGUCCAGAUCGCAUCGCGAUGGACGGUCCAGAUUCAUUUCUAAUUUACACCACUGUGACCACCGUCCUUUCCUCUACAGGUUGACCAGAGCAAAAUACCAAACCGCGACUCGCGCCGGAGGAGCUGCCGCACCUGAGAGCUCCGCCGCCAGUAAGUCUCAGUUUUCUGGAUUUUUUUGGCCCACCGAGGGCCCUAGGGGUGUUUUAUCACGAGAAUCAAUGCAAAUUUGGCCGAAUACGGCCAGAAACUGCCAACUCGAGGCAGAUCGUCGUCGGAGCACUGUGGAGCCGCUGUGCUGGAAUUUUAAAAUU